AACUUGUGUUUCAAAGAUGGUUGAAGAUCCUAUCAUGCAAGAAGAAAUAAUCGAUGAGAUUGACCACUAGCAAGAGGGGAUAGGGUCUUUUGGAAGGGACAUUGCUGUACGGCAAAGGAUAAACAAGAAGUUUGAUCCAGCUAAAUGGUGGAUGAACCAUGGGACAAGUGCUCCAAAACUAAGGAUCUUGGCUGCAAGGAUUCUUGGUUUGACAUGUAGAUCCUCUGCUUGUGAGAGGAACUGGAGUGUAUUUGAUCAAGUUCACACAAAGAGACGCAGCAGGAUGCUGCAUGACAAGAUGAGUGACCUUGUUUUCAUCAAGUUCAACUCCAAACUGAAGGACAAGAAACUAAACAAACACAAGGACCCAUUGAGAAGCAGGUGGUAGAUGUUUUAGAAG